rnacentral:rRNA from 1 species
UGGUGGAGUGAUUUGUCUGCUUAAUUGCGAUAACGAACGAGACCUUAACCUGCUAAAUAGCCAGGCUGGCUUCGGCUGGUCGCAGGCUUCUUAGAGGGACUAUCGGCUCAAGCCGAUGGAAGUUUGAGGCAAUAACA